GUCUAGGGCCACUAAGUGAUGAAUUGUAUUUGGAAGCAAAAAGGAUGGCUAAAAAGGGCCUCAACCCUUUU
rnacentral:sRNA from 1 species